rnacentral:rRNA from 1 species
GAGCUUGCUCCACCGGAAAAAGAGGAGCGGCGAACGGGUGAGUAACACGUGGGUAACCUGCCCAUCAGAAGGGGAUAACACUUGGAAACAGGUGCUAAUACCGUAUAACAAUCAAAACCGCAUGGUUUUGAUUUGAAAGGCGCUUUCGGGUGUCGCUGAUGGAUGGACCCGCGGUGCAUUAGCUAGUUGGUGAGGUAACGGCUCACCAAGGCCACGAUGCAUAGCCGACCUGAGAGGGUGAUCGGCCACAUUGGGACUGAGACACGGCCUAAACUCCUACGGGAGGCAGCAGUAGGGAAUCUUCGGCAAUGGACGAAAGUCUGACCGAGCAACGCCGCGUGAGUGAAGAAGGUUUUCGGAUCGUAAAACUCUGUUGUUAGAGAAGAACAAGGAUGAGAGUAACUGUUCACCCCUUGACGGUAUCUAACCAGAAAGCCACGGCUAACUACGUGCCAGCAGCCGCGGUAAUACGUAGGUGGCAAGCGUUGUCCGGAUUUAUUGGGCGUAAAGCGAGCGCAGGCGGUUUCUUAAGUCUGAUGUGAAAGCCCCCGGCUCAACCGGGGAGGGUCAUUGGAAACUGGGAGACUUGAGUGCAGAAGAGGAGAGUGGAAUUCCAUGUGUAGCGGUGAAAUGCGUAGAUAUAUGGAGGAACACCAGUGGCGA